rnacentral:rRNA from 1 species
AUGGCGGGGGAGGAGCAGACGGUGCUGGUGCGGUGCGCGGACCUCGCCAAGUUCGCGGUGCCGGCGUCGGUGGCGCGGCGGGCGGGGAGCGUCGCGGCGGCGCUGGAGGCGGGGCAGAGCGUGGUGGAGCUGCCGCGGGGGGUCUCCGGCAAGGGCCUCGCCACGGCGGUCGCGUACUACCAGGCCCGCGCCGAGGCGGAGGCGCGCGGCGCGGACGGCGGCGAGUUCGACGGCGAGUUCGUCCGCGGGCUGACGCACGACGCCGCCAUCGACCUCAUCUACGCCGCGCACCACCUCGGCGACGAGGCGCUCUUCAACCUCUUUGCAGGCUACAGGGCUAAUUAG